GGAGCGGUAGCGGCAAGUGGGCUUGCGGCUAAGGGAUUUUCCUGGGAUGAGAGCGGCUCUUCUGCCUUCAUUUUGGAUGCACAUCCCGCUUUAGCCCCGGCAGCCUUUGGUCCGGCUCGUGUCCCUGGGGAUUCUCGGAUCUCCGAGGACACCGGACGGGAGCGCUUGGCCAUCCUCUCUCCGGCGGAGGAGCAGACGUUUGCUUUCCAAGUGCAAAACUACACACACGCACGCACAAGCGGAGAGAGAGGAACCUUGCCGGUCCGAGGCAGCUCUGCGCGUCCCCUCCUGCGCUUAGCAUCCUCGGCCCAGCGCGGCCCGCACCGCCAUGGAGGUGCUGGAGAGCGGGGAGCAGGGCGUGCUGCAGUGGGACCGCAAGCUGAGCGAGCUGUCAGAGCCCGGGGACGGCGAGGCCCUCAUGUACCACACGGUACAUGUCUGUUGUGAAGAGCUCAUUCCUAUAAAAUGCUGCUCAUCAUUGCUGCAAGUCAGUGCAACAAAUUGUGCAUAUGAAUUACUGUUGAAAGAGGUAUUGGUUUAGCAGCACAGAUGAUUGGGUUAUAUUUCUCUCAAACUAAGGGA
rnacentral:sRNA from 1 species